UACCGGCAGCUCGAGUGAUGGCCGAUUUUAUUGGGCCUAAAGCGUCCGUAGCUGGCCCUGCAAGUCCGUCGGGAAAUCCACUCGCCUAACGAGUGGGCGUCCGGCGGAAACUACAGGGCUUGGGACCGGAAGACUUGAGGGGUACGUCUGGGGUAGGAGUGAAAUCCUGUAAUCCUGGACGGACCGCCGAUGGCGAAAGCACCUCAAGACGACGGAUCCGACAGUGAGGGACGAAAGCUAGGGUCUCGAACCGG
rnacentral:rRNA from 1 species